rnacentral:rRNA from 1 species
UGUUUAGGUGCUUGCAUUUAACUGAUUUAACAUUGAGACGAGUGGCGAACUGGUGAGUAACACGUGGGUAACCUGCCCUGAAGUGGGGGAUAACACUUGGAAACAGGUGCUAAUACCGCAUAACAACGAAAACCACAUGGUUUUCGUUUGAAAGAUGGCUUCGGCUGUCACUUUUGGAUGGACCCGCGGCGUAUUAGCUUGUUGGUGAGGUAACGGCUCACCAAGGCCAUGAUACGUAGCCGACCUGAGAGGGUAAUCGGCCACAUUGGGACUGAGACACGGCCCAAACUCCUACGGGAGGCAGCAGUAGGGAAUCUUCCACAAUGGACGAAAGUCUGAUGGAGCAACGCCGCGUGAGUGAUGAAGGGUUUCGGCUCGUAAAACUCUGUUGUUGGAGAAGAACAGGUGAUAGAGUAACUGUUAUCAUCUUGACGGUAUCCAACCAGAAAGCCACGGCUAACUACGUGCCAGCAGCCGCGGUAAUACGUAGGUGGCAAGCGUUGUCCGGAUUUAUUGGGCGUAAAGCGAGCGCAGGCGGUUUUUUAGGUCUGAUGUGAAAGCCUUCGGCUUAACCGGAGAAGGGCAUCGGAAACCGGGAGACUUGAGUGCAGAAGAGGACAGUGGAACUCCAUGUGUAGCGGUGAAAUG